rnacentral:lncRNA from 1 species
GAAUAUAUAAUUAUUUCCCACUGUAUUUAGGAGAUUAGAAUUUUCCUUAUUUACAAAUUUCAGUCUAUUAUAAAUUGUAUUGCUUCAUUGUAUCAAUUAUCAGAAAUUAAUGAAAUUAGUUUUCCCACAUGAUAUCAGAGCAGGUUUGUUUCUAACCUAGCCAAUACAUGACUGAAUCAGCCACGAUAGAUAGGGACUCCAUAAUCUCUGAUUCAGAGGUAGAAGCCAUCUCUACCAUGAAUACAAAGGGGAUCGAAAAUUCAGCUUUCCAACUCUCGAUAGAGAAAUUGAAUGGCAGAAACUGCAGAGAAUGGACGCAGUCGAUAAAACUAAUAAUCGACGGAGAAGGGAAACUGGGACACCUGACUGGCUAAACCAAGAUGUCGGCCUCAAACAACGCGGCUCUCCUUCAGAAGUGCAAGUCGGAGAAUUCGAUGGUGAUUGCCUGGCUUGUCAAUUCCAUGAAACCUGCUAUCGGUAAAACAUACCUAUUUCUCCCAACUACAAGAGACAUUUAGGAUGUGGUCAAAGAAAUGUAUUCAAACUCGGAGAACUUCUCGAAAAUUUUUGAAAUCAAGUAGAAGUUAUGGCAAACAAAGCAAGGGGAUCGUGAAGUGACGAAUUACUACCUUGAGAUGAUCGAACUAUGGCAAGAACUGGACCUAAGUUCGG